AUUGAACGCUGGCGGCAUGCUUUACACAUGCAAGUCGAACGGUAACAGGCCUUCGGGUGCUGACGAGUGGCGCACGGGUGCGUAAUGCAUCGGAACGUACCCAGAGGUGGGGGAUAACGCAGCGAAAGCUGUGCUAAUACCGCCUGUGAUCUGAGGAUGAAAGCGGGGGACCGAGCAGCAAUGUUUGGCCUCGCGCCUUUGGAGCGGCCGAUGUCGGAUUAGCUAGUUGGUGGGGUAAAGGCCUACCAAGGCGACGAUCCGUAGCUGGUCUGAGAGGACGACCAGCCACACUGGGACUGAGACACGGCCCAGACUCCUACGGGAGGCAGCAGUGGGGAAUUUUGGACAAUGGGCGCAAGCCUGAUCCAGCAAUGCCGCGUGCGGGAAGAAGGCCUUCGGGUUGUAAACCGCUUUUGGCAGGAACGAAACGGUGUCCGCUAAUACCGGGCGCUAAUGACGGUACCUGCAGAAUAAGCACCGGCUAACUACGUG
rnacentral:rRNA from 1 species